CCGAGUAUCGGUACCCUUUUGGGUACCUACUCCCACCAUUUGUGAACCUUUUUCGUUGCCUCGGCGGACCGAUGGUACCCCCAUCCUUCGGCGUAAGUUGAAGAGUGUCCGCCAGAGGAUUUUCAAACCAGUCUUAACUUUGAAAUCUGAGUUUAAAACAAAUAAAAACA
rnacentral:misc_RNA from 1 species